rnacentral:tRNA from 1 species
GCCGGUGUAGCUUAACGUUAGAGCAGCCAGAUUGUAUCUGGCCGAUGGAGUGUUCAAUUCCUCCCGCCGGCUCCA